rnacentral:rRNA from 1 species
UGGUGGAGUGAUUUGUCUGGUUAAUUCCGUUAACGAACGAGACCUCGACCUGCUAAAUAGUCCCACGAAUUCUUCGGGAUUCGUCGGCGACUUCUUAGAGGGACUAUCGGUGUGUAGCCGAUGGAAGUUCGAGGCAAUAACA